CCGGAUGAAGCAAAGACAGCUUAUUUGUCAAGUCCUACUCACUCCUCAACCCACAAGGAAAAUAAGAGAAAGAUACAAAGACUGAGAAUUGCAAAGACAGAAACAAGCAAGCAUCAAAAUAGAAUGGGAUAGAAGUGUUGUUUAGUUCUUAACUACUACUAAACCACACACAUCAGACUUUAUCAUGGGCUUCAGAGUAUUAUCACCUCUGAUAACAGGAUUUGAUGAACUAUUGGUCAUAGCUCUACAACUGCUCUUUAUCCUUAAACAUUCAAGUAUUUCCUAGUUCAUCAAGCAGAAGUGGUUGGUGGUUAGGAAAACAAGAAUAAGAACAAUAUUACUAGAGACCAGCUGGU
rnacentral:lncRNA from 10 species